rnacentral:rRNA from 1 species
CAAUAGCGUAUAUUUAAGUUGUUGCAGUUAAAAAGCUCGUAGUUGGAUUUCGGAUGGGACUUGCCGGUCCGUCGUUUCGAUGUGCACUGGCCAGUCCUAUCUUGUUGUCGGGGACUAGCUCCUGGGCUUCACUGUCCGGGACUAGGAGCUGACGAGGUUACUUUGAGUAAAUUAGAGUGUUCAAAGCAAGCCUACGCUCUGAAUACAUUAGCAUGGAAUAACACGAUAGGACUCUGGCUUCUCUUGUUGGUCUGUGAGACCAGAGUAAUGAUUAAGAGGGACAGUCGGGGGCAUUCGUAUUUCAUUGUCAGAGGUGAAAUUCUUGGAUUUAUGAAAGACGAACUUCUGCGAAAGCAUUUGUCAAGGAUGUUUUCAUUAA